GACGAACGCUGGCGGCGUGCUUAACACAUGCAAGUCGAGCGGUAAGGCCCUUUCGGGGGUACGACGAGCGGCGAACGGGUGAGUAACACGUGGGUGACCUGCCCUCAGCUCUGGGAUAAGCCUGGGAAACUGGGUCUAAUACUGGAUAUGACUCCACGGUGCAUGUCGUGGGGUGGAAAGCCUUGUGCGGCUGAGGAUGGGCCCGCGGCCUAUCAGCUUGUUGGUGGGGUGAGGCCUACCAAGGCGACGACGGGUAGCCGGCCUGAGAGGGCGACCGGCCACACUGGGACUGAGACACGGCCCAGACUCCUACGGGAGGCAGCAGUGGGGAAUCUUGCGCAAUGGGCGAAAGCCUGACGCAGCGACGCCGCGUGAGGGAUGACGGCCUCGG
rnacentral:rRNA from 1 species